rnacentral:lncRNA from 1 species
GGAAAAGGUACACAGUGGUUGUUGACAUUACUGGUUCAGUAGCUAAGGUUAUUCAAUUAAUAUGCUCUAAUUCCAUAAGAAAGUAGAAGUAUUAUAUUGCUGAGCCAGGGAACGUUACAAUUCCCUGUGGCGGGAGCAGUUUUCUAAGUUUUGCACAGGAACCAACUUCCAGCACUUCCGCAGUGAGUGAAGAUUUCCAUUGCCCACAACCCUGAAUUCUGCAGUGCAGGCUUUUUCAUACUCAUUUGGCUGCAGAUCCUCAUCUACCUAGUCCCCUCAGCGUGCAUAUCCAUUUGACUCACUGCCUAAGCGUUAGUGUUUGAUUGCAAGGUGCUGCUCUAGCCCCACCUGGCGUGCUAUUGUACUAUUCUUUCUAAAACCCAGAAAAAUUUUGCAUUCAGAAAUGCAUCUGGGUUUUCAGAUAAGGCAGUGUGGUGUGGGUCUGUAGGGAUUUCUUCUCACUUUUCAUCAAUUAAUUUAUAUGCAAAAAAGUGGAACAACUCUUAAGCAGGAAACCUUGGUAGGAGACUCAAGAAAACGAGGUACUUGUCAUCAGUAUCCGAGGAAGAAAAGCAUGGAAAGCAGAGUAGCCUAGGUCCCUCUUUUCCUUGACUCCCUUCUCUCCAGUCCACCUCACAGGCACAAAAUAUGGCUGUGGAGGAGGAGGCUGCGGUGCCUGCACUGUCAUGGUGUCAAGAUACAAUCCCAAGACCAAGAAGAUCCACCAUUAUCCAGUUACAGCCUGUCUAGUGCCCAUCUGCUCUCUGUAUGGAGCUGCUGUCACCACAGUAGAAGGAGUAGGAAGCAUCAAAACCAGGAUUCAUCCCGUGCAGGUAAGAGUGCAAUGCAAUUGGGACCAGGCGUUGGGAUAGGCACCCCACAUAACCUAACGUACUCCAAUCAGGUCACCAACUUUGUAAUCCUUUGUGCUUGUAAAUUCUCAUUUUGUGAGAUUCGGUGCUUCACAGCUAGGGAUCUUUUCAGAGAUUGGUGUGUAAACCAAGAUUCCUUCAUUUAUUUUAAUUUAUCUUAACUUUCCAGCCCCACCCUUGCCCUAAACUAAAACAAGGAGAGUCCUGUCUAAUAGAAUGAGAUAGGAAACUCAAAGUUUAUAGAAGAUCCUAGUUGUCUACCACAUUUCAAAAUUACUUAACUAUGCAUAAGAGGCUAAUCAUUUGGACAAGUACGACCCAAAGACUCCCCAAAUGUUUGCUGAGUAGCUGAACACCAAGAUACAGUAAAACAACUAAAAUGACAAAGCAUUUACUAAAACCUCUGAUGAUGUGUUGCUUUGACAGGCUCAUGGUGAUGGUGCCCGUCCUUCCACAGUAAACUUAACGACUUUUUGAUCUUAUUAAGGUCUUACCCCACACUUGGCUCAUCACCUUAACAGUUAUGGAAGCAACCUCAUGCUGCAGUUUGUCAGAUUUCUUUCUCUCAUAUAUUAACAGUACUUUCAGGAGCAUCCUUGCAGGCUUGGACUGGCGUGUAAGAGCCAAUUGUUAAAUUGUCAGUCAUUUUGUGAGAUGGUCUUUAAGCACAGCCAUUAUUAAAAAUGAAACUAUACAAACUUGAAAGUAAAUAAAUAAUAUGAACAACAAAGUUAAUAAAUAGCA